UGCAGUCGAGGGGCAGCGGGGAGUAGCAAUACUUCGCCGGCGACCGGCGCACGGGUGAGUAACACGUGUGCAACCAACCCCGUACCGGGAGAUAACCCGCGGAAACGUGGACUAACAUCCCAUAAUACUGGAGGAUCGCAUGAUCUUUCAUUUAAAAUUCCGGUGGUACGGGACGGGCACGCGCGACAUUAGGUAGUUGGCGGGGUAACGGCCCACCAAGCCGACGAUGUCUAGGGGUUCUGAGAGGAAGGUCCCCCACACUGGAACUGAGACACGGUCCAGACUCCUACGGGAGGCAGCAGUGAGGAAUAUUGGUCAAUGGGCGCGAGCCUGAACCAGCCAAGUCGCGUGAGGGAAGAAUGGUCCAUGGCCUGUAAACCUCUUUUGUCAAGGAAGAAUAAAUUGCACGCGUGCGAUCUUGCCAGUACUUGACGAAUAAGCAUCGGCUAACUCCGUGCCAGCAGCCGCGGUAAUACGGGGGAUGCGAGCGUUAUCCGGAUUUAUUGGGUUUAAAGGGCGCGUAGGCGGGACGCCAGUCAGCGGUAAAAGACUGCAGCUAAACUGUAGCACGCCGUUGAAACUGGCGCCCUCGAGACGAGACGAGGGAGGCGGAACAAGUGAAGUAGCGGGUGAAAUGCUUAGAUAUCACUUGGAACCCCGAU
rnacentral:rRNA from 1 species